CGUGCGCGCGCACAGCCAGGGAAUCCGCGGAGUGCCGAGUACGUCCGACCACGGUGGCGCAAGACCGGACCGCCGAGUUCGUCACCGGUUGAACCUGCGGACUUGAAGCACGACGGCACCACACCCGGGCCGCAAUGGCGAGGCGGGGAGGAGGCGGGUCCGGGAUCGCCACAAGACCAGCUCCUACUUCUUCCAGCAUGAUUUCCUUGGCAUUUGAAGCACCUCCAGAAGGACUGGCCACUGGGCACAGCUGCUGUCUAUAACUACUGGAAGAGAAGCAAGGAGGGCUGUUAACACUAAUCACUGAGAACACUGGCAUUCAAACCUCAGAACUGCUAAUUCUAAGGGAGCUGCACUUUGCCUCUUUGUGAUUUCUAUCUGAAUUGAGCAAAGGAAUCCUUGGUAGAUUGGUAAUGGAACCCUCAUGAACAGGAUCAAUGACUAGUUUUUUUGUUUGUUUGUUUUGUUUUUUUGUUUUUGUUUUGUCUUUUUGAGAUAGGUCUCACUCUGCAGUUCAGGUUGGCCUUGAGCUCACUUUGUAGCCCAGGCUGGUCUCAAACAACAGUCUUCCUGCCUCAGCCUCCUGAGUGAUGGGAUUACAGAUGUGUGCCACCACACCUGGCUCAAUGACUUUAUUUUUUUAAAAGUGUGUGGGUAAGGCAAGAUGCCUCCUUCCAUUGCUUUUUUAUCCUUUCUCCUAGGGCAGAGACAGCUUUCUGGGCACCAUCAUGGAAUAAGAGUUGCCCUCAUCAGACACCAGCUGUUCUGUCCCUUUGCCCUUGGACUUGCUGGCCUACAGAACAAACUCCUAUUCCUUUAAAAGUUACUGUUGCCGGUAUUUUGUUACAGUGGUCUAAGUGGACUCAGGAGCUUCUACCACUCUCCCAGUUCUGCCUUCUGAGUUGAGACAGAAAGUCCCACCCCAGGACAACCGUGACAGCCUUCCCACCCUCUAGACUUCCCCAAGGAAAAGACUUAUUCUAGUUCCCCCAACUCAAGAAGCUUCAUUCCCACCUCUCAAAUCUCUUGUUUCUUUUGAUGAAGCUGUUCUUCAGCACAGUUCUAAGCAUCUCUGUCUCUGCAGAAACACAGGUUAUCAAGCCUGUAACUGCCAUUUUUUUUUUUCCUGGAUUCUGUAUUUUGUCUAAGUAAUUCCUCAUUGAAAUUAUAAACUCUCUACCUUAGAAA